AAAACGAAGGUAAAUUCACAGUGCAGAGAUU
rnacentral:guide_RNA from 1 species